CCUACGGGAGGCAGCAGUGGGGAAUAUUGGGCAAUGGGCGCAAGCCUGACCCAGCAACGCCGCGUGAAGGAAGAAGGCUUUCGGGUUGUAAACUUCUUUUCUCAGGGACGAAGAAAGUGACGGUACCUGAGGAAUAAGCCACGGCUAACUACGUGCCAGCAGCCGCGGUAAUACGUAGGUGGCAAGCGUUAUACGGAUUUAUUGGGUGUAAAGGGCGUGUAGGCGGGAGCGCAAGUCAGAUGUGAAAACUCAGGGCUCAACCCUGAGCCUGCAUUUGAAACGGUGUUUCUUGAGUGCUGGGGAGGCAAUCGGAAUUCCGUGUGUAGCGGUGAAAUGCGUAGAUAUACGGAGGAACACCAGUGGCGAAGGCGGAUUGCUGGACAGUAACUGACGCUGAGGCGCGAAAGCGUGGGGAGCAAACAGGAUUAGAUACCCCUGUAGUC
rnacentral:rRNA from 1 species